GAUGAACGCUGGCGGCGUGCCUAAUACAUGCAAGUAGAACGCUGAAGGAAGGAGCUUGCUCUUUCCGGAUGAGUUGCGAACGGGUGAGUAACGCGUAGGUAACCUGCCUGGUAGCGGGGGAUAACUAUUGGAAACGAUAGCUAAUACCGCAUAACAGUAGAUGUUGCAUGAUAUCUACUUAAAAGGUGCAAUUGCACCACUACCAGAUGGACCUGCGUUGUAUUAGCUAGUUGGUGAGGUAACGGCUCACCAAGGCGACGAUACAUAGCCGACCUGAGAGGGUGAUCGGCCACACUGGGACUGAGACACGGCCCAGACUCCUACGGGAGGCAGCAGGAGGGAAUCUUCGGCAAUGGACGGAAGUCGGGACGAGCAACGCCGCGGGAGGGAAGAAGGUUUUCGGAUCGGAAAGAUCUGUUGUAAGAGAAGAACGAGUGUGAGAGUGGAAAGUUCACACUGUGACGGUAUCUUACCAGAAAGGGACGGCUAACUACGUG
rnacentral:rRNA from 1 species